GGAAUCUUGGACAAUGGGCGCAAGCCUGAUCCAGCCAUGCCGCGUGAGUGAUGAAGGCCCUAGGGUUGUAAAACUCUUUCGUCAGGGACGAUACUGACGGUACCUGAAGAAGCAGCCCCGGCUAACUUCGUGCCAGCAGCCGCGGUACUACGAAGGGGGCUAGCGUUGUUCGGAUUUACUGGGCGUAAGGCGCGUGUAGGCGGGUCGUUAAGUGGGGGGUGAAAUCCCGAGGCUCAACCUCGGAACUGCCUUCAAAACUGGCGACCUGGAGCAAAGAAGAGGCGAGUGGAAUUGUGAGUGUAGAGGUGAAAUUCGUAGAUAUUCGCAGGAACACCAGUGGCGAAGGCGACUCGCUGGUCUUUUGCUGACGCUGAGACGCGAAAGCGUGGGGAGCAAAC
rnacentral:rRNA from 1 species